rnacentral:rRNA from 1 species
UACGGGGGGGGCAAGCGUUGUUCGGAAUUACUGGGCGUAAAGGGUUCGUAGGUGGCUCGCUAAGUCAGACGUGAAAUCCCUCAGCUUAACUGGGGAACUGCGUCUGAGACUGGCAAGCUCGAGUGCAGGAGAGGAACGCGGAAUUCCAGGUGUAGCGGUGAAAUGCGUAGAUAUGCGGAGGAACACCGAUGGCGAAGGCAAUCUCCUGGGCCUGCACUGACGCUCAUGCACGAAAGCGUGGGGAGCAAACAGG